rnacentral:lncRNA from 1 species
UCCAAGUCUCAAUUUGUCCUGCUUCCCCACGCUUCCCUUCAAUUCCCCUGGUAUAUUACCUUUCCUUUCCAGCUGUUCUCAUUUUGUUAUGUUUGUUACCUUAUCAUGUAAGGUAAUAAAUGCCUAAUUUUAUUUAUCUUUUUCACGGUAAAAAGAAAAUUAUUGUACAUUAAAAAAAAUUCACAAAAAAAUUAUGUGUAAAAUUCCUAAAUCCUAACCUUAAUUUUCAGAGUAACAGCAGCCGUGAUUUUGGGGAGGAAGGCAAGCUACACGCGGCAUCAUCACUGUUACAACAGCCCCGCACGACUAUAGUAGCAUUGCUCCGAUGUUGGCGCCUUAGAUUUCUCAAUUGGCAGUACCGUAACUAUUUGGGAACAGACGACUUUCUUUUUCCUUUUGCAAUUGGUGUGGCUAGAAAAAAAAUCACACUUGGAUCUUUCUGCUUUUGUUCAGGUUCAGACUCAGAAUCUGGGUCGGGUUCUAGAUGUUUUUCAUAACCUUUUUUUAUUUAAGAAUUCCAAGUCAAGAGGAGAGGG